CACCUUAUCGUCUAGAGGCCUAGGACACCGCCCUUUCACGGCGGUGACAGGGGUUCAAAUCCCCUUAGGGUGACCA
rnacentral:tRNA from 1 species